UGGACUCUUGAGCUCUGCAGGGUGUCCUGCACAAGCAGACAGUUUCAGGCUCCCGUCAGACUCUAUGUGUCAUCCUCUGCUGCCAGAGGACGUGGAAGCAAACACUAGAGAUCGCUUUUAGCACUUCAAGGUCCUUCAGAUUUCCCCCUAAAAGUGAGGGGCCUGAAGCUCGGAGUGCUGACCUGUGCUGGUCCCUGGGUAUGCAUGUGAAAGCACCUCCUGCCCACGCUGUGUAACUCUGUGACAGGACGGCGCUGUUAUUCCGAGCCACAACCUGCACAGGACACGGCUUGAUCUCAUCUGACACUGUAGCUUUAGUUUUGGCUCAGGUACUGUAAUCUACGUCUGACCUCUUUACACAGAAGACUGUAAUUCCAACUUUUUCCAUUUCCGACAGUUUGGACUUCACAAAGACACCAGCCACAUGCGUCAUCUGACCUUUCUGCCUUAAUACCGAAACGUCAGGGACAGCUGCAGCUCCACAAAGAUAACAGCAUGAAACUCAGAAAGUGCAGAAAUACCACUGGUUCUACUUUAUUUCAUUAUGUAAAGGAAAGAAGAAGAAGAAGAGCAGAAGCAAAACCUCUCUUCUCUUUCAAACAGAAAAAUACUGAAUACAGAAACCAACAUGACAUUUUUGCUUUAUAUUAAAAAGAAGUAUUAUCGCAAGCUCUGAAUCAAGUCUCAUUUCUCCUGAAUAAAGAAAGUCCAUCACAUUAAUGUCAAAGCGAUAACCUUGACAUUAGCCAGGCUUUGUGAAAUUUAUAGGCCUUUCUUCAUUAUUUCCUAUAUGAAUUCUUAUAAUGAACUUCUUUCAUCCGUAGUUAAUGGCCUCAUACAUCUUCAAUCAGUUCAGCUUCACUCUGCUUCCCUUUCUUAAAUGACAUUGAGCCCAAUCUCUCCAAAGACUACCUGUUGAUAGUCAGAUCCAAGCUGCAUUUUCUUUUCUCUUGUCACAGGAAAAGGCAAUUUCACACAUAUUAUGAUAACUUUCACACCGGCAGAGGUGACAGUGUCAGUUUUCCCAAAGCAACCGACUGUAAGUUCAAAGACUAAGAGUGAGAGAUGACAGACAAAUGAUGAAGGAGGGAAAUCAAAAAAGUGGCAGAUUUUUUGAAAAGUCGAGAGCUUACUCAUCCUAGAAAGGUACAGAAUGUAACCAGCCGAGAACAUUUCCAUUAGGGUGCAAAUGAAGAAAGGAAGCACGAAUAAUUCAGAACAAAUGUGACAGCUGCAAAGCCAAAAGUCACGCAACAAAAAAUAAACAAAUGGAUUAAAGGAAAAUGGUUUAGUGCAAAGUCAGAAAACUUUUGUUUUAAAGAAAAACUUCAUAGCAGCAGAAAUUCUUCGGGCCUAUAGGGGGACUAGGGGCUCAUUUAUGCCCCCAUUGAAUAAAAUAAACUGAAAAAUACAAUCUAUUUCAACAAAUUCUCCCAUGCAUCCUUUACAAAUGCUAAUGCAUCCACUAGUAGGCGCUUAAAGAAAUGAAUCUGCGCUUGCACCGCACAGCCAUUCAACUGACAUUCAGAUAGGGUGACCAUACGUCCUCUUUUACCCAGACAUGUCCUCUUUUUGGGGGGCUGUCCAGCCUUGUCCGGAGUGUGGCGCCUAUAAAAUCCUUUAAAUGUCCGGGGUUUUGUAUGGAAGUUUUGAGUUUGUGUCGCUUGGACUUACAGAGUUAGAAGGGCGUAAAAAACACUCGAUCAGACCUAGAAAACUCCGCCCCGUGUGGUUGUGUCCUCUUUUUGGGGAUUCAGAAUAUGGUCACCCUAAUUCAGAGAGAUACAUCUCACUGAUUAGGUUAAGAGGAGCGCCCCUUUGCAUAAACACAGACAGGACUCUGUAGUGAGAAUCACUGUAUGGGCUCAAAUCAAUUCCACAACACCAGUGCAGCAGCCAUCCCCAUCUUCUGUCAAAGCAGCAAUAUAAUCCUUCACCUUCAACAUCUCCAAUCCUUUUUUAUUUGCAAUACCUCAACUCAAACAAAUCACUCUAUGAUUUAGUUGCUAUGGUUUCCUAUGCACCUUCAUGAACUGACAACAUGGCCAGCAUAAACAUUGCCUCGCCAACUGGUGUUUAGGUGUAGCACUGCAGAGAAAUGCAGACACUUAAGUGCACAUUUAUGUAGAGCUCGCAACAGCGUCGGCCACUAUAAUGUAGCUGCAGUGCAUAGUCAAUGCAGAAUAAACCAGGCUUAAGGAUGUGGGCUAGAUGACUGGGGUGUUUCUGGUCCAAAUGGGUCAGUACCUUCCAAAAGAGGCCAAAAAAAGAAAACAAGUGACAGAUUCACUGAUGUACGCUAAGUCCAAAAGCUGGCAAAUGAGUUUCUGGAGCAUCAACUCCUGGAAAAAGUUCAUGCCGACUCUGGUAAAAAGGUGCCAGAAAGGUAAAUCCCAUUUAGUUUUGUAUGGGGGUGUGUAGCUGCAGAGUUACACAAUGUUAGGCAGGUGGUUAUGGUGUUACAGCUUAUUGGCUGUAACCAUAAAAAAAGGAGAAAGCAGAGUCUCUUUUAUUGCCACCUAUGAAGCCCCAGAACAAGGGAUUAAGUCUGAGGAGGUUCAGGGAUGCCAGCAGCACAACUGGCAAGUAAUGAGUAUUGUUACGGCACAGCUUGGCGUCAAACUGACCUCUGGGGUCGGUGUUAAUUCCUGACACUUAAAUUCUUGGUGGCCAAAACCUCCUUUAAUAAAAGAUGAUUUACCAUAAUCCAGUUUGUCCUUACAGGCCAUAUCUCCUCUAUUGUAGUGACGGGUAUGCAGUGUUUUCUGCUGCACAGAUUUCUACUGUUUGCUUCACAUCAUCUCUGUAUUUUCUGGACACUUGCUGUUGAUGCAUUUGUCUGGCUUUCAGCAGCACAUGGAAAUUUGUUUGGCCUUUUGCGCUUUUUUUUUCUGAAUUUGGAGUAUGUUUCUCUAUGAGAGUGUUAUUGAUUGCAGCAUUUUCCAUCCUUGUCAAGGACCAAAGAAAAAGCUCUUUUUCGUAGAAGAAACUGCAGACUCCCAACCUGUGAUAAGGCAGACAAAUGAGGAACCACUUCAUUAAAACACAGAAGGAAUUCAAAUGGUGUCAGAUCCAGAGGAAGUUGAAAAAUAAGCAAAAACUUGGCACUGACUUAUGUUUUUUUGAGUCCUCUUCAAACAUUUCUUUGGUCUCUGAUAUCAAACAGUCUCAUCUCUACUUUACAUUCAUGUCCUGAAGUGAACUUUCUGUCUUUUUAACAUCUCAUGAAUCAGGUUGUUUGUUAGACACCCCCGCCUCCCUCUCCAAUCUCUCCAAACUCGGAAACUCUCCACAUGUUGCUGUGACAUUUCUGGGUAAUAACAUUAGAUUUGUAUGUGUUCAUCAGUGAUCAGACUUAAUUAGGUCACACAGCUCUCUUUAAAUAAUUUAAAUGAUGAAUUAGAGCAGUAGAUCCACGUCGAUACUAAUUAAUAUUUUAAGGUCUUUGAGAUAGCUUUGGAAAAAAAACAAUAUCACUUUGAUUGAACUUUUAACACUGAUGAACCAUUUAAGACCACCGUGGUGUCUUAGCAUGUUGCCGUUUAAUUAAGAAGUAUAAUGAAAAUAUUCAAAUCUUAAUGGCUUCAGAUGGUGCAAUAAAAGACUCACAUCGAUACAGGGACACUUCUUGGAGCGAGUCCAGUUCUCAGACACAGCCUGGCUCUCAUUGCUCUGUCACAAAACAUUAUGGGACAGCGGUCUAAAGAGAAAGCUGAGGUCACCUCCUGUAAACUGUGGGUAUGUGCUUAAAAUGAAAGUGCUGAACCUCAAGACCUGGAUGUAAAUAUGUGCCCAGUUUAAGAGUAGACUGAGUUUUUACUGCAUAAGGAUUAAUGACUAUUAGGUUGUGAAUACUCAAAUCUAAUUGGCUGAUGGGUGUUAUGAUGCCAUACAAUACUAUAAUAAACCAUAAAGUGGAAUGAUACUCUGUGACUCAACACAAUUGUACAAGAUAACAACACAAUAAAGCAGUAUAAUGAAAUGAAGUGAUUUGAUUACAAUUCUAUGCACUACAGUUAUACCGAAGAAUACAGCUAUUACUACACAAUACACAAUGAUACAAUACAGCAUGAUAUGAUGCAGUGAUACUACAGGAUACAGCUAAACACAUACAAGAUCAUGUGAUAUACAAUAUGAUACGACAGAGUAAGUUUGCCACAGCGGCAUCACAGGAUAGAACAAAUUUGGUAAAAUAUGAUUUGAUAAAACUCAGUAAGAUAUCACAGAGUACGCCACAAUAAUAUCACAGGAUACGACCUAUAAAAUACAACAAUGUAAUACAAUGUGACAUGUCAUUUAACUAUAUAUUACGAUGUAUAAUGUGACAUUACGAUAAGAUGCAUUACCAUACAUUUGAUGCAUUACAGUAUCACAUGAAACUAUACAAUAUCAAAUGUUGACAUAACAUGAUAUUACAAUACAUUAUGUUUUAAAAGUUAUAUGUUACAAUUAGGGGUGUCCCAAUUUGAUAAUGAUAUCGGAUAUCGGUCUGAUAUCAGCAAAAAAGAAAAAACAAAUAUUGGAUUUUAUCAGCAUGCAUCUUAAAUCUGCGAUAUCAGCACUCUGAUACAAGCAGUCCAUUCCAGACUCCACUCCGGCACCUCUAUCUUGCAGCACUCGGCUCCAGCAAGCUGAACCCACAAAAUCACAACAACAAUGUGUACUAAGGUUCUAAUGAAGUAGCAAGGAGUAAGAGUGGUGUUGGCCAUGUAGCAGUAUUUUUUGCAGCUGAGUGAAAAACUUGUCAUGCACAAUUUUGUGCCAAUAUCGAUAUCGGUCAAUAUUGAAGGCUACAACAUUGGUAUCGCAUCGGAAGUCAAAAAGUUGUAUCGGUACACCCGUAGUUACAAUGCAAUGUGUUGUGUUCCAGUGCUUAAUGUAACGGUAUGUUUUGAUAUAUUUGAUACAAAACUUUACAAUAUAAUACAGUACAACGUGGCAAGAUAUGAUGUCACCUUACAUUGACAGGUUAUGAUGUGAUAUGUUUUGAUACGAUACAUUACGAUACUUUACAAAAUAUUACAAUCUUUUAUUAGAAUACAUUAUGUUACGAUUCGUCAACAUAACGUGACAUUACGAUGUUACAUUUCAGAACAUUACAAAACAAUAUGUGAGUAUUACUUAUUCAAACUAAACAUGACAUGUAGCUUGAUCCAUGUGCCAUCUGUUCACAUGGAGGGGGGGGCGGAGUUGAUGACCUGGACUGCAGCCAUCGCUAAGAGGCAAACGAUGUGUUUUGGCUUCACUAUUGAGAGAUUACCAUGACCACAAAUUACAAUGUCAUUUAGCAGACGCUUUUAUCCAAAGCGACGUGUACGAAUCAUACACCAGCGGAGGACACACACUUGGAGCAAUGGAAUGGAAAAGGGGGGAAUCAAACCGUCAACCUUCUUGUUGUUGGACGACUGCUAUACCUCCUACGCUACCACCGCCCUAUAUGACUACAUCUAAAUAGAGUGCAUCUUUAAAGAGUUUCUCCUUGAAUACUUGAGUAGUGAAUGUUUUGAUUGCUGGAACUUGAUUUCAAGUAUUUGCCAGAUCUUUAGGCGUUACCAUGGAAAUGGAGCGACAGCUAGAUGAAAACAAAGAUUUAUUUUUAAAAUGCAUUAAAUCAUACAUUAAUGGUCCUUCUGUUUCCUUGGCAAGCGCCUUUGGUGUAAAGCUGUUUGAGGUGUCCUUAAUCAGGUACAAAUUUCUACUUGACACCUCAUCAGGUAUUAUCCCUCACUUAUACAAAGACCUACAUUUCCGUAAGCUGUCUGUGUCUUCAAAUUCCCACACUUCAACCCC
rnacentral:lncRNA from 1 species